rnacentral:rRNA from 1 species
CACGUAGGCGGCUUGCUCAGUCGGGUGUGAAAGCCCACGGCUCAACCGUGGAACUGCAUCCGAUACUGGCAAGCUCGAGGACGGAAGGGGUGAGUGGAACUCCAGGUGGAACGGUGAAAUGUAUAGAUAUCUGGAGGAACACCGGUGGCGAAAGCGGCUCACUGGUCCGUCUCUGACGCUGAGGUGCGAAAGCUAGGGUAGCGAACG